rnacentral:rRNA from 1 species
GAUGAACGCUAGCGGAAGGCAUAAUACAUGCAAGUCGAACGGAUGUAGCAAUACAUUAGUGGCGCACGGGUGCGUAACGCGUAUGCAACCUACCUUCAUCAGGGGGAUAACUACCCGAAAGGGUGGCUAACACCGCAUAAUACUAUUGAGUGGCAUCACUUGAUAUUUAAAUCUGAGGAGGAUGAAGAUGGGCAUGCGUCUGAUUAGCUAGUUGGUGUGGUAACGGCGCACCAAGGCGACGAUCAGUAGGGGAACUGAGAGGUUGGUCCCCCACACUGGAACUGAGGUACGGGCCAGACUCCUACGGGAGGCAGCAGUAGGGAAUAUUGGUCAAUGGUGGGAACACUGAACCAGCCAUUCCGCGUGCAGGAAGAAGGGUCUCUGACUUGUAAACUGCUUUAGCAAGGGAAGAAAAAGCUCAUGCGUGAGAAAUUGACGGUACCUUGAGAAUAAGCACCGGCUAACUACGUGCCAGCAGCCGCGGUAAGAC